GACGAACGCUGGCGGCGUGCUUAACACAUGCAAGUCGAACGGAAAGGCCUUUUCGGAGGUACUCGAGUGGCGAACGGGUGAGUAACACGUGGGUGAUCUGCCCUGCACUCUGGGAUAAGCCUGGGAAACUGGGUCUAAUACCGGAUAGGACCGCACUUUAGUGUGUGUGGUGGAAAGUUUUUUCGGUGUAGGAUGAGCCCGCGGCCUAUCAGCUUGUUGGUGGGGUAAUGGCCUACCAAGGCGGCGACGGGUAGCCGGACUGAGAGGUUGGUCGGCCACAUUGGGAGUGAGAUACGGCCCAGACUCCUACGGGAGGCAGCAGUGGGGAAUAUUGCACAAUGGGCGCAAGCCUGAUGCAGCGACGCCGCGUGGGGGAUGACGGCCUUCGGGUUGUAAACUCCUUUCGCCAGGGACGAAGCGUUUUGUGACGGUACCUGGAGAAGAAGCACCGGCUAACUACGUG
rnacentral:rRNA from 1 species